GGCUUGAUGGGAGUGAACUUUGGAUCUUUCUGGCUGAACAGAAGAAAGGCAAUAGUCCAGGAGAAGAAACAGCAGCUUUACAACAGCAACUAAACAGCUUGUCCCAGCAGCCAUGGUAAUUUGUUUGAGAGGAGGAAGAAGAGGAGGAAGACUACUGAGUUUUCAACCAGAAAGACUUGCCUACUGCUAUCUAAUUUUUUUUGUAUAACCAAGGCAGUUAACUUGUAAACUGUUACCUGCAGAUCAUUUUGUGGCCAAAGAGAUACACUCUUUUAUUAAAAAAAAAAUGGAAUUCAUGACUGUCAACUGUAAUCACAUAGGUAAUACAAAAAUAACUUCUGGAUUUCUGAAAUAAAGACUCAAUCUGUAAUGAGUCCAAGAGCAUUGUUGCAUGAAAUGCAAGAAUCCUUACCUGCUGGGCUGCUGGAGCCCAUCCAUUUGAAGGAGUUAAUUAUAAUUCCAAGGAAAACAUCUGCCCCCACUUGCCAGGCUUCAUAUCAUCUUCUAGCUUGUGGGGGAUAAUGCGUAUCUGCAAUCAACGCACAUGCAAGGAAGAAAAAUCAGACUGUACCCAGCAGAAAGAUUCUCCCAUAAUUACCCAACUUUUUCUGGUGAAGCGCCUGGGAUGUGUACCGUCACACAGCAUUUUGCAAGCGGUUUGAUUUGCUCACUGCGUUUCCUGUCCUCUUCUGAGGAAUCCAGGGAGCUCCCGGGCUGGAAAUGUGUGGCAACGAAGCGGACAGACCUCAUUGGGGAGUGCUGGACUGUAUGGCAGAAGGGAUGAAGUGACCUCUCUGAUCCUUUCCAAAUCUGUAUCUUAGGACUGUGAUAAGAGACUGAAAUGUAAACCUUAUGCUAGCGUGUAAUGCACACUUUGAGCACAAAUGGAAACCGUGAGGGAGGGAAAAAAAAGUUUUAGUGUACUUUUCACACUGGAAAUGACUUAACCUCCUAUAUUUUCUUCCUCUUUUUUCUUUUUUUUUUCCCAGCAUACUCAUCUUACUACUCCCAGCAUACUACUCCCAGUAACUCAUUAACAAAGUUUCAGUGAAUUCGAAGCAAAGGCAAAGAGGAACAGUUUGCUCUCUUGCAGCAGUUAUUGAAUGUGCCCCCCAGUUACUUUUUUUCCCACAUUUCCUUUAAACUAACAAAGAGCUGUAAAUAAACACCCUUAGAAGCCAAACAACAGACACCAAAUAUUUUGAGAAUGAAACUCAUCAGAAAGGCCCAUUCCCUGGGCAAAGCGCUCAAUCAGUUUAAUUUUUUUUUUCUUACUGAAAAUGUGGGUGGUUUUCAAAUACAGGAAAGAAAACAUGAUGGCUUGUGGUGAUACUUUCCACCAGAAAGAUGCAGCUUUAAGGGCUUUUGGUUUCCAAAUACCUACACCCACAGGAGUGGCCUCGUCUGUUGUAGAAGGCCAUGCCUGAUUAGUUGUACGAGUCAAAUUAAAUGGCAAUAAUAGCACACAGCAGUUGAUGCGUGUUGCAGUGGAAGCUUUGUGUCAGCUGGGUAAUUAAUAUGGCAGCUGCCUCCCAGACUACGGCACUGUGGUUUUUAAAUAUGCAAAAUGCUGCUGUGUAAAAGAAG
ensembl:lncRNA